rnacentral:rRNA from 1 species
CACUUCUAAGGAAGGCAGCAGGCGCGCAAAUUACCCAAUCCUGACUCAGGGAGGUAGUGACAAGAAAUAACAAUAAACCGGCUUAUGCCGGUUUAAUUGGAAUGAGUACAAUUUAAACAUCUUAACGAGGAACAAUUGGAGGGCAAGUCUGGUGCCAGCAGCCGCGGUAAUUCCAGCUCCAAUAGCGUAUACUAAAGUUGUUGCAGUUAAAAAGCUCGUAGUUGGAUUUCUGUGGGGACGGAGCGGCCGGCCGCAACUCGCGGUUCGAGCUAGCGCUUUCCCUACAUCCUGCCGCGAACCGUGCUACCAUUAGUUUGGUGGCGCCGGGGAUCGGCUCGAUUACUUUGAGAAAAAUAGAGUGUUCAAAGCAGGCCACAUGCCUUGAAUAAGUUAGCAUGGAAUAAUAACUAAGGACUUCGGUUCUAUUUUGUUGGUGUUCGGGACUGAAGUAAUGAUUGAUAGGGACAGUUGGGGCGGUCUGUAUUCCAAAGCGAGAGGUGAAAUUCUUAGACCUUCGGAAGACAAACAGCUGCGAAAGCGUUCCGCAAGGAUGUUCCCUUUGAUCAAGAACGAAAGUUGGGGGAUCGAAGACGAUCAGAUACCGUCGUAGUCUCAACUAUAAACUAUACCAGCUAGGGAUCGGCCAACGUUAUUUCAAACCGACUUGGUCGGCACCUUAUGAGAAAUCAAAGCAUCUGGGUUCCGGGGGGAGUAUGGUCGCAAGGCUGAAACUUAAAGGAAUUGACGGAAGGGCACCACCAGCCGUGGAGCCUGUGGCUUAAUUUGACUCAACACGGGAAAACUUACCAGGUCCAGACAUAGUAAGGAUUGACAGAUUGAUAGCUCUUUCUUGAUUCUGUGGGUGGUGGUGCAUGGCCGUUCUUAGUUGGUGGAGUGAUUUGUCUGGUUAAUUCCGUUAACGAACGAGACCCCAGCCUGCUAAAUAGCGCGCGUGAGCUUUGCUCGCGGCGAGCUUCUUAGAGGGACUAUGAUGCGCGAUAGCACAUGGAAGUUUGGGGCAAUAACAGGUCUGUGAUGCCCUUAGAUGUUCUGGGCCGCACACGGGCUACACUGGCGCCUGCAGCGAGCAUAUCAGCUGGCCCGAGAGGGUCUUGGCUAAUCUUUCGAACCGGCGCCGUGCUUGGGAUUGACCUUUGCAACUGUUGGUCAUGCAACGAGGAAUGCCUUGUAAACGCGAGUCAUCAGCUCGCAUUGAAUACGUCCCUGCCCUUUGUACACACCGCCCGUCGCUCCUACCGAUGAAUGUUCCGAUGAAAUUUUCGGAGAGCACCUGUGAACUUGGCUCUGCCUUGCGAACGGGAGGCUCAAAGUCACUUAAAUCUGAACAUUUCGAGG